UUUGAGAUGCAUCUGUAGUUCUACAUUAUAAGGUUUUGCUUAUAUAAACUUUUCCCGUUGUGUUUUGCGUAGUGGGUAUAAUGGUCCUUUCAUUUGUCCUAGCCAGAUAUGCAUAAGGGUGGGGACACAAACUUUACCCCAUCGUUUUUAGGGAUAAGAGAUGACAACGGUUAGUUUCGAAUCUUUUCAUUUUUGGCUCUCGUGUCAUUUCAAUUUCAAAAGUUUGUGAACUACUUUGUCAUUCCAGAUAAGUUAGGGCUUCCAUACAGUGAUAAAAGAUGCAUGAGUGGAGGCACAGAGCCAGAUCCUCAGAGAAGAAACUAUGGGAGUUGCGUAAACAAUUCUCAAGACUCCAACAAGAAAUGGAUGAAAAGAACAGCAUUGGCUCAUUGAAUCAAACCUUGACUGUCAAGACCGAGCGAACGAAAAUCAUUAGGCCCAACGAUGAUCCGCUCGAACUUGAAAAGGAAAACGAAUCUUCGAUCACUGACAAGAGGGUCUUAGUUUGCAGACUGAGAAAGGAGAAGAAAGGUAAGGGGACAAACCGCUCGCCUCUAAAAGAGAUUGGGAAUUCGUCGCCUCUGUUCAAGCCUAGAGGAGCAGUUUUCCCUAUUAACUUUUGAAGAAGGUAUAAUCCGACGGAGAAUAAUAAUAGUUUUGUAUUUUUCGAAAUAGUAGUCCAAAAAAAUUUAUUGGGGUUGAGCAGAAUCAGAGUUCUUUUUGUGUGAGACUGAAAGAUGAAUCUAUCUAAGGACAGAUAGUUUCUUACUUUCGGGUGCAAUACUUUUGAUAUGGACCUUUAUAUUAGUAAAUAUAUGGCAUUAUUUGCAAGGAAA